AAGACUUUAAGUUAAUAAAACUUUUAUCCUUCAAAGCUAAAAAUAAAGAGGCUUAAUCUUUAAGUCUUA
rnacentral:tRNA from 1 species